rnacentral:rRNA from 1 species
UACGAAGGGGGCUAGCGUUGUUCGGAAUUACUGGGCGUAAAGCGCGCGCAGGCGGUUCUUCAAGUCAGAGGUGAAAGCCCAGGGCUCAACCCUGGAAUGGCCUUUGAGACUAGAGGACUAGGGUACGGGAGAGGUGAGUGGAAUUCCGAGUGUAGAGGUGAAAUUCGUAGAUAUUCACAAGAACACCGGUGGCGAAGGCGACUCUCUGGCUCGAUACUGACGCUAAGGCGCGAAAGCGUGGGGAGCAAACAGG